rfam:Butyrivibrio fibrisolvens 16/4 draft genome.
UGCAGAGUAGACUGUAAAGCGUUAAGUGCCAGAUGAACAGGGAGUUGUCAUUUGGACGAAGGGGCAAUCCGCGGUUUUAUGGUCGCAUCCCGCUGCU